CAUUAGACCCUUCACGUCCGGGUCACCCUAUGGAAUUAAGCACCGGCGUGUGUGUUUCUUUCACACACGCCAGGAACCUGGUGACAGAACCCCACCACCAGAGAGGACGCUUAACCUGCAUAUUGCAAUAGGUAUGUUGAACCAAGUGCCUUUCCUCCCUUAUUUUUGCUCCUUAUUCCCUGGUUCCUUUUAUGUGGCAUGUAUAUGGCUUAUUAUCUGUGGUGCCACUUUGCAGACCAGGAUCUCCCCCACCAUAUGACUAUCUCUCUUUUUGAGUAACUGAUAUGCCUUAGGCUUUCCUUUUGUAUUAGGAUACCAGCCUUAUUAUAAAAGAUACCUGUUUGUAAUUACUUAUUAUUUAUUGGGUGAGAGAUAUUGUGGUCCUGCCAUGACGCCCCGGUCUCGCCAAGCCCCACACCAGGGAAUAGGGAAUAACAAUAUAAUCUCUUUUACUCUGCAUUAACUGUGCAGUAAUAUGUAUUACUAUCAAUUUAGGUGUGUGACUUCCAUAUGUAUGCCACACCAGGCACUACAGGAGCCUCUGCUUCGUCAUAACCUCUCUGUAUCCAUCACUAUGGUCAUAUAGGAAUCUAAGCGUUGCUUAACCACAACAAUAGGUAUGCUACUUAAUAAUUAAACCAUAUCUAUUAUAUACUAAUUACCUCUCUUUUUUCUUUUGGGACCUUUCCUAUUUAAGUGUGCUGAUGGAUAAGUUAUAUUUCAUCAGUAACACCACAGAUAUAUAUUUCUAUGACUGUGGUAUUAGUUCCCUUAUGCGCAUAUAUAUAUGCAUAUAUAUAUAUAUAUAUAUGUUCUAAUAUAUAUGACCCAUACUAGCUAUUCUUAUUAUUAUCCUUUUAGAUCUUGUUAUCCAAUCUUGUAAACACUGCAACCUAUCAAGGGUACGGCCUUACUCAGAACCCUGUGGAUCUGACUCCCACAGGGGGUGAAGUUGUUGCCCAGACGCGCUUUUGCCCGGUGUAUUUUUCCAACUUCCCUUAGUCCUGCUCCGUGUGUAUCCACUGGCGUUAUUUGACAUUCCACAGUUACUGAUAAGAGUAUGUCAUAGAUGUGUGCGGCGCCCAGAAGACGCGUAGUGCGAAACAUGUCGGCGACCAGCCCUCUACUCAUCUAAUUAUUGUCACAUCUUAUCUGCAACAGGGCAAUCAAUGAUUUCUGUCAUUGUAUUUUUUAUUCAUUUUGUUUUCGUGUAUUUAUAUUAAAUUUUGAUACUUUUCUA